rnacentral:rRNA from 1 species
GACGAACGCUGGCGGCGUGCUUAACACAUGCAAGUCGAACGGUAAGGCCCUUCGGGGUACACGAGUGGCGAACGGGUGAGUAACACGUGGGUGAUCUGCCCUGCACUUUGGGAUAAGCCUGGGAAACUGGGUCUAAUACCGGAUAGGACCACGCGCUUCAUGGUGUGUGGUGGAAAGCUUUUGCGGUGUGGGAUGGGCCCGCGGCCUAUCAGCUUGUUGGUGGGGUAAUGGCCUACCAAGGCGACGACGGGUAGCCGGCCUGAGAGGGUGUCCGGCCACACUGGGACUGAGAUACGGCCCAGACUCCUACGGGAGGCAGCAGUGGGGAAUAUUGCACAAUGGGCGCAAGCCUGAUGCAGCGACGCCGCGUGAGGGAUGACGGCCUUCGGGUUGUAAACCUCUUUCAGCAGGGACGAAGCGCAAGUGACGGUACCUGUAGAAGAAGCACCGGCCAACUACGUGCCAGCAGCCGCGGUAACAC